GAUGAACGCUGGCGGCGUGCCUAAUACAUGCAAGUCGAGCGAACAGACGAGGAGCUUGCUUCUCUGACGUUAGCGGCGGACGGGUGAGUAACACGUGGAUAACCUACCUAUAAGACUGGGAUAACUUCGGGAAACCGGAGCUAAUACCGGAUAAUAUAUUGAACCGCAUGGUUCAAUAGUGAAAGACGGUUUUGCUGUCACUUAUAGAUGGAUCCGCGCCGCAUUAGCUAGUUGGUAAGGUAACGGCUUACCAAGGCAACGAUGCAUAGCCGACCUGAGAGGGUGAUCGGCCACACUGGAACUGAGACACGGUCCAGACUCCUACGGGAGGCAGCAGUAGGGAAUCUUCCGCAAUGGGCGAAAGCCUGACGGAGCAACGCCGCGUGAGUGAUGAAGGUCUUCGGAUCGUAAAACUCUGUUAUUAGGGAAGAACAAAUGUGUAAGUAACUAUGCACGUCUUGACGGUACCUAAUCAGAAAGCCACGGCUAACUACGUG
rnacentral:rRNA from 1 species